CCAUAUUAAAGAUGGCAGUCUUCAUUUUAGGGAAAUAGGAAGCCUUUGAAAAGUUUCACCAACAGGAGACAAAUGACCAGAUUUCUAAAACAUCACCUUGGUUGUGAUAUGGAGAAAUAAUUGUCAGAGGUAAGAACGGAUGUUGAAAAAACAGGAAGUUUUUGUGGUAGGCCAGGUGAAACAUCAUGGUAAUUUGCCCUGGGACAGUGCGGUGGAUAAUGACAUAAGUGGCUGAAUUCAAAAGAUAUUUGUAAGGUAAAAUGGACAUUAGGUGAUGAAGUAGACAUGGGGAGGGAAUUACCAAAAAUAAUUCUAAUGUCUCUGCAAUUAGUGAAGUCAUUUACAAAAAGUAAGGAAUGGGGACAAAAGAACAGAUUUUUUUCUUUAUUUUUAAAGUAGGGGGUGGUUUGAAGAUCAUGAGUUCAUAUUUGGACAUGUUAAUUUUGAGCUAUGUUUAGAGAUGUCAAGUAGAACAGAAUAAGAACAAGGAAUGCAAAUUAAAAGAAUCACAGGCAUAUAAUUGAAACCUGAGUAUAAAUGAGAUCUCCCAAGGGAGAGAGUAUUCUAUAAUUGUUUUAAAAAAUGUAAGAACACAUUAUUUUAAGGCCUUUUGGAAAAAAGAACAUAUUUACUGUAUCAAAUUCUCACAAGCCUUCCAAUGUCAAAUAAUAAUCAGCAUUU
rnacentral:lncRNA from 10 species